rnacentral:rRNA from 1 species
UACGGAGGAUGCAAGCGUUAUCCGGAAUGAUUGGGCGUAAAGCGUCCGCAGGUGGCAAUGUAAGUCUGCUGUCAAAGCGUCUGGCUCAACCAGAUAAAGGCAGUGGAAACUACAUAGCUAGAGUAAGGUAGGGGUAGAGGGAAUUCCUGGUGUAGCGGUGAAAUGCGUAGAGAUCAGGAAGAACACCGGUGGCGAAAAGCGCUCUGCUGGACCUUAACUGACACUGAGGGACGAAAGCUAGGGGGAGCGAAUGGG